GGGGGCGACCUGGUUUCGACAGGGGUUGUGAAGCGGUCAGGGCAUACCGAGGACCCGUCACCUCGUUAAUCAAUGGGAAAACGUAACUGCAAACGACGAUACGUUCGCACUGGCAGCCUAAGGGCUAGCCAUCCUCUCACUAUUCGCUGACGGUUAGGGUAGCAAUACCACGAGAGGUCAUAUACGUCAGAUAAGCUUUGGUUGCGUCACGACGCCCGAGUCGAAAAUUUAGUGAAUCGCCGUAACGCAGCGUGUUCGUCCGCGUCGUUACGGUUAAAUCAAAUGACAGAACUAAGUAUGUAGAACUGGUCGUAGAGCGCUUCUGGACGCGGGUUCGAUUCCCGCCGCCUCCACCA
rnacentral:tmRNA from 1 species